UACGAAGGGGGCUAGCGUUGCUCGGAAUCACUGGGCGUAAAGCGCACGUAGGCGGCUUUUUAAGUCAGGGGUGAAAUCCUGGAGCUCAACUCCAGAACUGCCUUUGACACUGAGAAGCUUGAGUCCGGGAGAGGUGAGUGGAACUGCGAGUGUAGAGGUGAAAUUCGUAGAUAUUCGCAAGAACACCAGUGGCGAAGGCGGCUCACUGGCCCGGUACUGACGCUGAGGUGCGAAAGCGUGGGGAGCAAGCAGG
rnacentral:rRNA from 1 species